UAUGAGGGGGGCUAGCGUUGUUAGGAAUUACUGGGCGUAAAGCGCACGGAGGCGGACUCUUAAGUCAGGGGUGAAAUCCCGGAGCUCAACCUCGGAACUGCCUUUGAUACUGUGAGUCUCUAGACCGGAAGAGGUGAGUGGAAUUCCUAGUUUAGAGGUGAAAUUAGUAGAUAUUAGGAAGAACACCAGUGGCGAAGGCGGCUCACUGGUCCGGUUCUGACGCUGAGGUGCGAAAGCGUGGGGAGCAAACAGG
rnacentral:rRNA from 1 species